rnacentral:lncRNA from 1 species
CUCUGCUCCAUAUACUUGGGGAAUUUUUCUUCUUUACACUUGAAUUUGGCAUCAACUCAAUACUCAUUUCUCGAUACCUUUAGAGAGGCAUAAUCAUUUUAAAGUAGACUUGGCUGAAAUUAAUUAAGAUUUACCAGUAUUAUUAUCGGAUCGCAAUAAAAGCUCUGGUUCAAUUUGGAAUCCCAGGGCCUAAGACAUCAUGUAUUAGAUCCUCUAGCUAAACAGGGACACAGUGCUUGGUGGUGGCAAAUGUUAGCUACUGGAAUGAUAGCAACAUUACAACAUGACAGUGGUCACGUGCGAAAGCUCGUGAAGCGAAGGAUGGAAAAGGAAUGAGCAGACAAAUUGACAAUGACAUAGAGAGGUCAGACAUGUCAAAAGGGUAUCAAUGACAAUGGACAAUAUGGGAUGACAUUUUGCUUGGUGGUGGCCGAAGAUGGUACUUAGAGGCUCCUCAGUCUGGUAGCAACUCAACAUUGCUGAGCAAUAGGCUAGGAGAGGAUCAUCUAGAUAUGCGAGGAACAUGCGAGGUAUUUGUAGUUUAAUGUAAAAGGGUUCGAUUAAAAUAGUUUUAUUUUGUAAACAAAAUACAAAGUCUCUUUACAACUUGAGAGAGGAAAAAAAAACAAAAGAAGUGGUGUGUUGCUGCAACAUGAGUGUAUAAUCAUCUUGUGAGCAGGUAGCUAAAUGUAUUAAUAUCCAAAACAUGCAAUCACAUGCUUUGCUUGAAAGGAAGGCUGCAAAUGGUAAAGAAGGCUUGUGGAUGGUGUACCUUUGGGCAUCCUUUUGGAUUUCUAGUCUCAUGGAUAAUUUAUGUAGGCUUUGGUGUCCAGAUGCAUGUACGGAUUCUGGAGCCUAUUUCAUAUACAUUGUGAUUUAAUAUUGAUUUCUGGGGAUUCGUAGCAGAUUUAGAUAUAGAUGCAAAUAGGCUGAACCUAGGUUUGUCAAGUAUAUGGAGGCGAUUGAGACCCUUGAUGGCCUAGAUAGCACCUAAUAGGGAUGUCAACAAGGCGAAUUCAGUGUGGUCACUGAAAAAACCGAAAUCGAAAUCCAUCACCACCCCUGGGAACUGAAAGUGAAACCAAACAGUUUUUGUAAUAAAAAACCGUAACCACCACUAAAAGAACUGUAAAAUCAAAACCAAAACUCAAAAACAGAACCCAUUUGACUUUCUUUAUUCAUUUCAAAAUUUUCAUAUACAAAUAACCAAAUUAAAGAUAUUAUCUAUAAUUUUCAUAAUAUAAUUUAUUAAAUAUAAAGGGUAUUAAGGAUGUCAAAUAUCAGGUAUGUUCGGUUCGGGUUCGGGUUCGGUUUCCAUUUCAAUUUUGGAUUUGGUUUUGGACUAGAGAAUAAUCAAAACCAUAACCAAAAUUGAAACCGAAUGGUUUUUAAUUUCUAAAACCCAUCACCAAAACCAUCACCAUUUGAUUUUGGUUAAAACUUCCCCAUUCGGUUUGGGAUGGGUAAAAUACUCAGGUAUCUAUACUCGUUGGCAUCCCUAGCACUUAGGUGUCUAUGCAAAUCAUAAUUUUN